AUGGUUAAGGUUGACCUUGCAAAAGCUUUUGACCGUAUAGAGUGGAACUUCAUUGUGGCUACUCUCUCUCGUAAAUGGCUUCAUGGUCAUUUCAUUAACCUCAUAUAUGCUUGCAUAUCUUCCCCUGUUUUCUCUAUGAUCACUAACGGUCAAUCUUAUGCUAGAUUUGCAAUAAAGGGAAUCAGGCAAGGUUUUCUUCCGCCUCCUUAUCUUUUUGUCCUUUCCAUAAACGAGUUGUCUGUCUCUCUUCAGGAAGACAUGGCAAACAAUCAGUUGGUUGGCAUCACUCUUGGUCCAAAUCGCCCUCCGAUUCAUUCUCUAAUGUUCACUGAUGACCUGCGCAUUUGGGGCCAGGCAACUAUUCGUGAAGCUUCAACUAUGAAGGAUCUUCUUAAAAAAAAUUGCUUAGAUUUAGGUCAAAAUCCAAAUUGGUCAAAAUAUGUUAUUAUCUUUAGCAAACACGUCCAUCCUAAUGUUUGUGCUACUAUAAAAACUAUUUUUCUUGUGCCGGACAUUGAUGCCAACUCAAUUCACCCUGGACAUCCCUUAAUUCUUUCUGCCAAAGAGAGAUCUUCUGCCUACAAUUAUAUCUUUGACAAGUUUAAAUCCAAGCUCAGCGGCUACAAAGCAAACAAACUUUCCCAUGCAGCUAGGCUUGCUUUAAUCAAUUUCUUCCUUGCUUCUAUAUCGGUCUACUACAUGUCCAAUAUUUUAUUUUCAAAAAAAUUCAUUGCCAACCUCACUGCUAUAGUUAGGGACUUCUGGUGGAGUGGUGUUAAAGAUGAACCUACUGUUAGAUCUCUUUGCCUUCGAGCUUGGAAAGACAUUUGUACUCCAAAAAGAGAAGGUGGGUUUGGUAUUAGGAACCUUUAG
rnacentral:rRNA from 1 species